GGGACAACAGUUGGAAACGACUGCUAAUACCGCAUAAUCCCUGAGGGGGAAAGAUUUAUCGCUUUAAGAUUGGCCCGCGGAAGAUUAGGUAGUUGGUGGGGUAAAGGCCUACCAAGCCGACGAUCUAUAGCUGGUCUGAGAGGACGAACAGCCACAUUGGAACUGAGACACGGUCCAGAUUCCUACGGGAGGCAGCAGUGAGGAAUAUUGGGCAAUGGAGGAAACUCUGACCCAGCCAUGCCGCGUGAGUGAAGAAGGUUUUCGAAUUGUAAAGCUCUUUCGGAUGGGACGAUGAUGACGGUACCAUCUAAAGAAGCCCCGGCAAACUUCGUGCCAGCAGCCGCGGUAAUACGAAGGGGGCAAGCGUUGUUCGGAAUUACUGGGCGUAAAGGGUGUGUAGGCGGAUUUGUAAGAUAGUGGUGAAAUACCUGAGCUCAACUUAGGAAUUGCCAUUAUAACUAUAGAUCUGGAGUGACAGAGAGGAUAUUGGAAUACCCAGUGUAGAGGUGAAAUUCGUAGAUAUUGGGUAGAACACCAGUGGCGAAGGCGAGUAUCUGGCUGUCAACUGACGCUGAGGCACGAAAGCAUGGGGAUCAAACAGGAUUAGAUACCCUGGUAGUCCAUGCUGUAAACGAUGAAUGCUAGUUGUCGGCAAAAGCCGGUGACGCAG
rnacentral:rRNA from 1 species